GACGAACGCUGGCGGCGUGCUUAACACAUGCAAGUCGAACGGAAAGGCCUGCUUUCCCUUGUGGAUUGCGGGUACUCGAGUGGCGAACGGGUGAGUAACACGUGAGUGAUCUGCCCCCAACUUGGGUAUAAGCCUGGGAAACUGGGUCUAAUCCCCGAUAGGACUGCAGGGUGGUGCCUGUGGUGGAAAACGAUUUUCUAGUGGUUGGGGAUGAGCUCGCGGCCUAUCAGCUUGUUGGUGGGGUAAUGGCCUACCAAGGCGGCGACGGGUAGCCGGCCUGAGAGGGUGGACGGCCACAUUGGGACUGAGAUACGGCCCAGACUCCUACGGGAGGCAGCAGUGGGGAAUAUUGCACAAUGGGCGGAAGCCUGAUGCAGCGACGCCGCGUGGGGGAUGACGGCCUUCGGGUUGUAAACUCCUUUCGACCGCGAGGAAGCCACCUGGUUGGAAGGGUGGUGACGGUAGUGGUAGAAGAAGCACCGGCUAACUACGUG
rnacentral:rRNA from 1 species